GACGAACGCUGGCGGCGUGCCUAAUACAUGCAAGUCGAGCGAAUGGAUGGGAGCUUGCUCCCUGAAGUUAGCGGCGGACGGGUGAGUAACACGUGGGCAACCUGCCUGUAAGACUGGGAUAACUUCGGGAAACCGGAGCUAAUACCGGAUACAUUCUUUCUUCGCCUGAAGAAAGAUGGAAAGAUGGUUUCGGCUAUCCCUUACAGAUGGGCCCGCGGCGCAUUAGCUAGUUGGUGAGGUAACGGCUCACCAAGGCAACGAUGCGUAGCCGACCUGAGAGGGUGAUCGGCCACACUGGGACUGAGACACGGCCCAGACUCCUACGGGAGGCAGCAGUAGGGAAUCUUCCGCAAUGGACGAAAGUCUGACGGAGCAACGCCGCGUGAGCGAAGAAGGCCUUCGGGUCGUAAAGCUCUGUUGUCAGGGAAGAACAAGUACCGGAGUAACUGCCGGUACCUUGACGGUACCUGACCAGAAAGUCACGGCUAACUACGUGCCAGCAGCCGCUGUAAGAC
rnacentral:rRNA from 1 species